rnacentral:rRNA from 1 species
GGACGAACGCUGGCGGCGUGCCUAACACAUGCAAGUCGAGCGGGGUUGAGGCGAGAGGUAACUCGAACUUCUACCUAGCGGCGGACGGGUGAGUAACGCGUGGGCAACCUGCCUCAAGGUUUGGGAUAACAGCCCGAAAGGGCUGCUAAUACCGGAUAUGCCUAUGGCCUCGCAUGGGGCUAUGAGCAAAGGGGAAACCCGCCUUGAGAUGGGCCCGCGUCCCAUCAGCUAGUUGGUGAGGUAACAGCUCACCAAGGCGACGACGGGUAGCCGGCCUGAGAGGGUGACCGGCCACACUGGGACUGAGACACGGCCCAGACUCCUACGGGAGGCAGCAGUGGGGAAUAUUGGACAAUGGGGGAAACCCUGAUCUAGCAACACCGCGUGUGCGAUGAAGGCCUUCGGGUCGUAAAGCACUUUUUGGAGGGAAUAGGAAGGAAGGUACCUCCAGAAUAAGUCUCGGCUAACUACGUGCCAGCAGCCGCGGUAACACGUAGGAGGCAAACGUUAUCCGGAUUCACUGGGCGUAAAGCGCGUGUAGGUGGUUCUGUAAGUAGGGCGUGAAAGCUCCCGGCUCAACUGGGAGAGGCCGUACUAAACUGCAGAGCUAGAGGAUGGUAGAGGGAGGUGGAAUUCCAGGUGUAGUGGUGAAAUGCGCAGAUAUCUGGAGGAACACCAGUGGCGAAGGCGGCCUCCUGGACCAUUCCUGACACUCAGACGCGAAAGCUAGGGUAGCAAACGGAAUUAGAGACUCCGGUAGUCCUAGCCCUAAACGAUGCAGACUAGGCGUCGGCGGUUUAAUCACCGUCGGUGUCCAAGCUAACGCGAUAAGUCUGCCGCCUGAGGACUACGGCCGCAAGGCUAAAACUCAAAGGAAUUGACGGGUCCCCGCACAAGCAGCGGAGCGUGUGGUUUAAUUCGAUGCUACACGAAGAACCUUACCUGGGUUUGACAUAGAGGUAGUAGGGAAGCGAAAGCGGACCGACCCUUCGGGGAGCCUCUACAGGUGUUGCACGGCUGUCGUCAGCUCGUGUCGUGAGAUGUUCGGUUAAGUCCGCUAACGAGCGCAACCCUCGCUGUGUGUUACAAGUGUCACACGGUACUGCCGAUAUUAAGUCGGAGGAAGGUGGGGAUGACGUCAAGUCAGCAUGACCUUUAUAUCCAGGGCUACACACACGCUACAAUGGCCAGUACAAUGGGUUGCCAAGCCGCGAGGCGGAGCCAAUCCUAAAAAGCUGGCCUCAGUUCAGAUUGCAGUCUGCAACUCGACUGCAUGAAGUUGGAGUUGCUAGUAACCGCAGGUCAGCAAUACUGCGGUGAAUACGUUCCCGGGGAU